rnacentral:rRNA from 1 species
AGCGUAGGCGGGCUAUCAAGUCUGGGGUGAAAUCCCACGGCUCAACCGUGGAACUGCCUUAGAUACUGACGGCCUCGAGGAAGGUAGGGGCAUGCGGAACUAACGGUGGAGCGGUGAAAUGCGUUGAUAUCGUUAGGAACUCCGGUGGCGAAAGCGGCGUGCUGGACCUUUUCUGACGCUGAGGCUCGAAAGCUAGGGGAGCAAACG